rnacentral:rRNA from 1 species
GCAACUUGCCCUACUGAAAAGGAUAGCCCUUCGAAAGGAGGAUUAAUACUUUAUAACAGAUUGAAUGGCAUCAUUUAAUUUUGAAAGAUUUAUCGCAGUAGGAUAGGCAUGCGUAAGAUUAGUUAGUUGGAGAGGUAACGGCUCACAAGACGAUGAUCUUUAGGGGGCCUGAGAGGGUGAACC